UAGGAUCCCAGCAUUUCAAGGUUUUGUCCCAGCUACCAGUUAUCACUUGUCCAGUUGCAUAUGAGUAAUCAAUGCAGCGAACUGGUGCAUCAUGCCUUCCCAAUAUAUCCUCUCUUCCAGAGUUGAACACAAGCCUUCUAACGGUAUUAUCAGCACUGGCACUGAAUCCAGAUGAAUCAUCGUGGAAGCAACAAUCAAGCACUGCACCACCGUGCAUGAACUCCCCUCUCAAGGCAUUAGCACUUGCAUCGUACAAACGGACCGUCUUAUCCCAAGAAGAAACAAGGAGGUGAUCGCUGUGGUUGGAGAAGCGGAGGUUGGAUAUGCCGUCCUUGGGCGGGUUUUCGAGCUCUCUUCCGGCAGAUUGCGACACCGCCGUCAUGAUAUCGCCGUCGUUCGCUUAAAAUGAUUGAUUUCUGAGUUAAGUACAGGAUGUGGGAGCGUAUGGAGUGACUAGGGUUUCACAGAGAGUGGAGGGAGAAG
rnacentral:misc_RNA from 1 species